rnacentral:rRNA from 1 species
UUUAUGGAGAGUUUGAUCCUGGCUCAGGAUGAACGCUGGCGGCGUGCCUAAUACAUGCAAGUCGAGCGAACAGACGAGGAGCUUGCUCCUCUGACGUUAGCGGCGGACGGGUGAGUAACACGUGGAUAACCUACCUAUAAGACUGGGAUAACUUCGGGAAACCGGAGCUAAUACCGGAUAAUAUAUUGAACCGCAUGGUUCAAUAGUGAAAGACGGUUUUGCUGUCACUUAUAGAUGGAUCCGCGCCGCAUUAGCUAGUUGGUAAGGUAACGGCUUACCAAGGCAACGAUGCGUAGCCGACCUGAGAGGGUGAUCGGCCACACUGGAACUGAGACACGGUCCAGACUCCUACGGGAGGCAGCAGUAGGGAAUCUUCCGCAAUGGGCGAAAGCCUGACGGAGCAACGCCGCGUGAGUGAUGAAGGUCUUCGGAUCGUAAAACUCUGUUAUUAGGGAAGAACAAAUGUGUAAGUAACUAUGCACGUCUUGACGGUACCUAAUCAGAAAGCCACGGCUAACUACGUGCCAGCAGCCGCGGUAAUACGUAGGUGGCAAGCGUUAUCCGGAAUUAUUGGGCGUAAAGCGCGCGUAGGCGGUUUUUUAAGUCUGAUGUGAAAGCCCACGGCUCAACCGUGGAGGGUCAUUGGAAACUGGAAAACUUGAGUGCAGAAGAGGAAAGUGGAAUUCCAUGUGUAGCGGUGAAAUGCGCAGAGAUAUGGAGGAACACCAGUGGCGAAGGCGACUUUCUGGUCUGUAACUGACGCUGAUGUGCGAAAGCGUGGGGAUCAAACAGGAUUAGAUACCCUGGUAGUCCACGCCGUAAACGAUGAGUGCUAAGUGUUAGGGGGUUUCCGCCCCUUAGUGCUGCAGCUAACGCAUUAAGCACUCCGCCUGGGGAGUACGACCGCAAGGUUGAAACUCAAAGGAAUUGACGGGGACCCGCACAAGCGGUGGAGCAUGUGGUUUAAUUCGAAGCAACGCGAAGAACCUUACCAAAUCUUGACAUCCUCUGACCCCUCUAGAGAUAGAGUUUUCCCCUUCGGGGGACAGAGUGACAGGUGGUGCAUGGUUGUCGUCAGCUCGUGUCGUGAGAUGUUGGGUUAAGUCCCGCAACGAGCGCAACCCUUAAGCUUAGUUGCCAUCAUUAAGUUGGGCACUCUAAGUUGACUGCCGGUGACAAACCGGAGGAAGGUGGGGAUGACGUCAAAUCAUCAUGCCCCUUAUGAUUUGGGCUACACACGUGCUACAAUGGACAAUACAAAGGGCAGCGAAACCGCGAGGUCAAGAAAC